UACGAAGGGUGCAAACGUUGCUCGGAAUUACUGGGCGUAAAGCGAGUGUAGGCGGUUUGGUAAGUCGGAUGUGAAAGCCCCGGGCUCAACCCGGGAAGUGCGCUCGAUACUGCCAAGCUAGAGUAUCGGAGAGGUUGGUGGAAUUCUCGGUGUAGAGGUGAAAUUCGUAGAUAUCGAGAGGAACACCGGUGGCGAAGGCGGCCAACUGGACGAAUACUGACGCUGAGACUCGAAAGCGUGGGGAGCAAACAGG
rnacentral:rRNA from 1 species